GGGGAAACCGGAGCUAAUACCGGAUAAUAUUUCGAACCGCAUGGUUCGAUAGUGAAAGAUGGUUUUGCUAUCACUUAUAGAUGGACCCGCGCCGUAUUAGCUAGUUGGUAAGGUAACGGCUUACCAAGGCGACGAUACGUAGCCGACCUGAGAGGGUGAUCGGCCACACUGGAACUGAGACACGGUCCAGACUCCUACGGGAGGCAGCAGGC
rnacentral:rRNA from 1 species